GUAAAGGGCUCGUAGGCGGUUCGUCGCGUCCGGUGUGAAAGUCCAUCGCCUAACGGUGGAUCUGCGCCGGGUACGGGCGGGCUGGAGUGCGGUAGGGGAGACUGGAAUUCCCCGGUGUAACGGUGGAAUGUGUAGAUAUCGGGAAGAACACCAAUGGCGAAGGCAGGUCUCUGGGCCGUCACUGACGCUGAGGAGCGAAAGCGUGGGGAGCGAACAGGAUUAGAUACCCUGGUAGUCCACGCCGUAAACGGUGGAUGCUGGAUGUGGGGCCCUUUCCACGGGUCCCGUGUCGGAGCCAACGCGUUAAGCAUCCCGCCUGGGGAGUACGGCCGCAAGGCUAAAACUCAAAGAAAUUGACGGGGGCCCGCACAAGCGGCGGAGCAUGCGGAUUAAUUCGAUGCAACGCGAAGAACCUUACCUGGGCUUGACAUGUGCCGGAUCGCCGUGGAGACACGGUUUCCCUUCGGGGCCGGUUCACAGGUGGUGCAUGGUCGUCGUCAGCUCGUGUCGUGAGAUGUUGGGUUAAGUCCCGCAACGAGCGCAACCCUCGCCGCAUGUUGCCAGCGGGUGAUGCCGGGAACUCAUGUGGGACCGCCGGGGUCAACUCGGAGGAAGGUGGGGAUGACGUCAGAUCAUCAUGCCCCUUACGUCCAGGGCUUCACGCAUGCUACAAUGGCCGGUACAACGCGGUGCGACACGGUGACGUGGGGCGGAUCGCUGAAAACCGGUCUCAGUUCGGAUCGCAGUCUGCAACUCGACUGCGUGAAGGCGGAGUCGCUAGUAAUCGCGGAUCAGCAACGCCGCGGUGAAUGCGUUCCCGGGCCUUGUACACACCGCCCGUCAAGUCAUGAAAGUGGGUAGCACCCGAAGCCGGUGGCCCGACCCUUGUGGGGGGAGCCGUCUAAGGUGAGACUCGUGAUUGGGACUAAGUCGUAAC
rnacentral:rRNA from 1 species